rnacentral:lncRNA from 1 species
AAGAAGCAGCAAGGUCUCGUGGCGGUGGACAAGCAUCCUAACCUGGAAAUUGAAUAUGGCAACGUUGGAGGCUUAAACGUGCCUUGAUAAGAAUACAAGUCUGUCAAAUUGAAAUCUUUAUUAAUACUAUAGUACACUGACUAAUCAUGUACAUAUGCAUCAAUUCUAAAGUGCUUGAACAACGCAAAAAGGACGAAAGAGAGACAUAAAAGCUUUUUUGCAGCUUGUUUUGGGAGACACUCGGAAUGUGAACCAUGACAUAAUUAACAAUAUUAAAUUCAUUAUGCCUAUGACUGAAAUCAGGAGCAAAGUUUAGAGUUUUUGUUAAUUAAAACGACUGUGUCAUGUUUUAAAUCAUGCAUAUGAUCGCAAAGCUUAUGUAGCAGUUGGACUCAAAUCAACAGGAAAUGGGACAAUAUCAAGGGAUGGUGAGGUUAGAUACCAUGGACAAUCUCUAAAGUUCUAGCUGAUGGACCUAUGGAAAAAUUAUGGCAUACUUAACGAUAGGCAACACAAGAUUCCAAUUACCUCGUGUAUCCCUAAUUGAUGUAGUAUAAAAGUCACAUGCUCCACAAUAAAGAGAACAAAGAAAAUUGAAGAAGAGGGGGAAAAGAGAAAAAUGGAAAAGGGGAGGAGCCAAGAGAAAUUGAGAGAAUACGAACUUGUGCUAAAAACAUAGCAUACCCUUCUUUACAGAGGGUCCCAACUAAAAAAUAAAAAAAUCCCGGAAGUACAGCAAUUUAAAAUAAAAAUAAAAAUGACAUCUAAAUAAAUCCAACUUCAACAUGCUUAAAAUUUGCAUAAUUCCAGUGGUUAAGCUUACGUUCUUACCAACAACCAAAGAACUAUGAAAUGAGCUUAUGACACCUACUCUAAGGAAUUCGGCUCAAGUCUGUACUGAAAAGUAAUAUUCAAAGUGCCAACCAAAAUAAUCAAUGUGCAAGUAUAACAAUACCUUGAAGAGUUUUUGCGAAAAUUGAGACGUUAUAUGUAGGCACGUGUUGGAAAAAUUCGUGAAAUCCAAGUAUUAUUUUGUUUGGACUUCAAAAUUUCAUUUGAUAGUCUAAGAGGCAUUAAUUCUUAGCUAGGCUAGAACAUAAGAUAGAUGCAUUAAUUCUUAGGUAGACUAGAAUAUAAGAUGGAUAAAAUAGAUCUCCUAUUCCAAGUUGGUGCAUAGAUAUUUCACAUGUCAAACUUGGAUAAUGAUGAAAAUACAAUGCAAUAACAAUUGAAUUAUCCUACAAUCCCAUAAACAAAUACUUAUAGGACGUAUAACAAAAGCCAGCACCAAAAGAUUUAAUGCAAGAAACCCACACAUAAACUCAUGCAUAAGAGGGUGAAAAAUCUCCAAACGCAUUAGAGGCCACCACGAGUAGGCCUCUCCAUGGAGUAGAUGUUUACGCACGUAGCAGAAUCAUGGAGUAGAUGUUGUUUACGCACGUAGCAGAAUUUAUAGAGGUGUCAAGGAUGAGUAGGGAACAACGUAAGAGUGAUAUGAUACCAGAAAGGCUGGGUCAACCAAGGUGAAGGAUUGCUUAGCAUCAAGAAGCAUCGUUAGACAGUAAGUAAAAGGCUUGCACAAUACCUUAGGGAAUACCACAUGAUUGGGUUGACCAAGUGAAAUAGUUGCAUAAUGGAGAAUGGUCAUUGAAGGGUCACAACUCAAGUAAUCCCGAGUUAUAGAAGAGGGUUGCGACUGGUUUGCACCCUAAAAGGCUCCCAAGAGAAGAGGUUUAGCCAAGGUUAGACUAAAGGCAAAAAUUGAAUCUCUCGCUAGAGUAACAACCAAAUACCCCACCGACUAAACUAACAAUCAAUAACCAAAUACCCACUAAACAAACAACCAAAUACCACCAACUUAAAGAAUACCACACACAAGGGUAAAUUAGGAAACAAGCCAACUAAAAUCUCUCUCUUCAACCAAACAAUCUCUUCAACCUGGACAAAUAUCUCAACCACCUGCACAGUGACAAUCCAAUUGUAGUAGAUAUUGUACGCAUGAAACUACAGCCUUAUGUUUACGAAGUACACAUGCUAGGAAACUUGCACACCCAAUAGCUUCGGUCACCUAGGCUUCACAAACAUAUAUAAGGCCUCGAUCGAUGGGAAGAAACAAUGAUUUAUGAACUGAAGCCUCUUGUGCACUUAGUGUAGGGUUUGCUUGAGUCAUGCAUACCUAAUGUUGAUGAGGUAUUGACAAGUAGAAGCAUAGUUAGUUUGGCCCUAUUGCUUUUGGAGAUGAUCAUUGUUAAGGUUAGGGUUUUGGUAGGUGUCAUGUGUUAUGUUUUGGGUGGGGUUUCUCUAGAAGGGAAUUUUUCUUUGACUUUGAUACCAAUCAGAAGUUUAGGCUGAAAUAAUUCAUACAAUCAAUCUUAUAUAUACACUAGUGCAAUCCUAUCUAUAAAAGGAAAAUCAAUUCUACUACUAUAGUCCUUGUUAGACUAAAAUAUAAGAUAGAUACAUUAAUUCUAGCUAGGCUUGAUAUAAGGUAAGAUAGAAUACAAGUUAAAAUAGAUCCCUUAAUCUAACUGGUCUCAUGUAUUUUCUUUUUGGUCUUCUUUUACUUAAAGUGCUAUCAUCUCAGAGAAGAAAAUCUUUAGAGUCUCUGAAAAAGGUGCCUAGCAUUUUAAUAGCAACAAAUCAAUAUUGCUUUCUUUAAGAAAACUUAUAUUUUCUCUUUCUACAAAAAUUUCUCUUCAGUCAAAUAUUUAAUUUUCUUCAACCCUUACCUUCUGUUUGAUCUAAUAGUUAUUUAUAGGAUAUCUUCUAUUCGAGAUCUCUCAAUUUUCAGCUCUUAAAAGUUGUACAAGAUAGUUAAGAAUUUAUACGAGAAGGAAAAACAUACAAUCUUGCAACAUCACCAAUAAACUGAUCUGAGCACAAAGAUUUUGAGGAACAUGAAUUGUUCUUCAGUUCCUAACUUUUAAAAGAACCUUGAUAUCCGUAUUGCAAAUAGGAAAGUUGCUACAUCUUGUACAUCCUAUUUUCAAAUAUAUUUCGAAUCAUACUUUCAAAAAAAAAAAUAAUAAUAAUAAAUACACACACACACACACACACACACACACACACAUUGAUGCUCAAACUCUUCGAAAUGGUUGGAGUACCCGUGUUGGACACGACACGACAUGGAUAUGUGUAUGAAAUAUGUCUCCGAUCCUCCAAGUGUUAAAAGGACACUUUGCCCUUUUUUUUGCUUCUUCUUCUUCUUCUUCUUUUUUUUUCCCUUUCUGUUUCUACUCUCUAUAAACCUAGCGCCACCUCCGAGAGAGUGGAGAAAAGUGACAACACUAGAUUUUCCCUUCCUUCCCUUUUCCUUUCCUUUUUUUCCUUCUUUCCCUCUCUGUAUCGGUGGUUUAGUGUUAUGUUUGUAUAAAAUGAAAAUAAAUUCAUAUAAUACUACUUAGUGCUCCCCUAAAUCCAAAUUGCAAUCAAGUCCCUCAUUUUUUUUAUAUAACAUUUAGUAAUUAACUUCUCAUAAUUGAAAACUAAAUUCUAAAAUUCUAUUUUAUUCGUCUUAACCUCUUAUUUAAUACUAUUUCCUUCUUUGUGAACAAUUGGUUUUAGUUAUUCAAAAUAACAUCUUGAGUUAGUAAAAAAAUUGAAAUUUGAAAAACGUACUCACGUAUCUGUGUCCAAAAUUUAGAUUCUUUUUAUCCAUGUCUCUGUAUCCUACAUUUUGAAAAAUAAAAAAUCCGACACUUAGAUACGUACCUGUACCUAAUACUCAAUACUCGAGUCCGAGCACCAUAGUUGAUGUAGGAUAGAUUGAAGGAAUCCAACAAGAAGUAGGCAGGAAGAAGGGGAGAAACCAGGGGAGAAGAAGCAAGAAACGGGGAGGAGAAACAGAGAGAGGGUGGGGGGGAGGGGGNNNNNNNNNNNNNNNNNNNGAGGGGGGGAGAAGGCCGGGCAAGAAGAGGAGAAAACUUAACCAAGCAUUAUUUCAUUCAUUCUCAUCAAUUCAUCGUCCCCAAAUUACAUAACAAACCAAGUAUAAAUAGCAAAGCGCUAAACCUGGCCAAGCCAAAAAUACAAUCCCAAUACAUAAAACAUAAAUAAAAGUCUACAAUAAAACAUAUUUAGGUGAUGUCCUCAUCAACUUCCCCGGGCUGGGAAAAGAACUUGACCAUGUCGAGUUGAUAAAUCAAAAGCUGCAGUUGAUAUGAUGUCCAAAAUGCUCCAAUUUAUGCCACGCGGGACGAUCCUUUUGACGAACCGAAUAUCGAAACUUAAUAAAUAACGGCAAAGCAAACUGCAUAUCAUCCCUAAGAAUAUGAUGUAACCUAGGCCAACGAAAAUCGUAUUGAUUUUGAUAAAGUUCCGAUAAAUCUAGAUCAAGCUGCUGGAGUUUCUUUUUAGGACUCCAUGCACAGUCAAACUCAAGUUGACUCACCCAACGAACAAGCAUUGAAUCUUUUCAUCACUGGCCAACAAAAUAUGUUCAUCUAAAAUAACAUCAAUUUUAUCUUAGUGUGCUAUAACAGGUGGUAUUCGAAUAGGCAUAGCAAAUGAUUCAGUAUGGGAGUUUUCAAGUGGAGAUAGAAAAGGAUCAUCAAAAGUGUUAAAAUAGCCUUUGUAAGCAUGAAAGUCCUUAACAAUUAAAAUAGGGCGGUGGGCAUAAUGGGAUGAAAGAUCAUUGACAUAUGUAUUUGGACCAACAUGUUUUGAAGUUUUAAAAGUACCAGCAUUACAGGCUUGCAAUGUAACAUAAUUCCCAAUAUUGAAUUCAAAAUGUCUUUUAUGCAAAUUAACUUGAAGUUGAUACAAUGCAUUACUUGCUUCAAGUUGUUUAUCGAUCUUAAUAUGCAAGUCAUGCAAAUGUGGUACAACUACCUCAUUUGACGUCAAUUCACUACAAUGUGGGGGCAUGCUAAAGGUGUUCUAGGCUUAUAAUCAUGACUAACUUUAAAGGGAUUCAAACCUAGAGAUCGAUUCACAAAAUUGAGAUGUGCAAUUUCAACAAGUGGGAAGAUCAAAUCCCAAUUCCCAAGAUUUUCCUUGAAUAUGACAUGAUUAUGCAACUCAUCAGCACUUUUGGAUUGAUUAAGGACACUACAUACAACACUUGACUGAGAAGUAUCGGGAAGAAGGGGUAAAACAUCUAGAUUCUUCGAAAGACUCCGGAUACCACCUAAGGAGGCGUCCUCAAUAUCAUCCAAGUCAUCAAAAUCUUCAAGUUUAGGUUCAUAGACUAGAUCUUCUAACGAUUCAUCUAUUACAUCCUUUCGUUCUUCUCUGACUAAGGCACAAUUAGGACAUUUGGAAGAGAUGUAGCUAAAGUCCUUACAGCUGAUGCAUAGCAAGUGAGAAGAAGUCAUUGGAAUUUCAAAAAUUUUACCCUUAUUUUCCAAGAUUGGAGGAACAUUAGAUGGAGGAGGCCCUAGAAGGGGCUUAAUGAGAGGAAGUGGAGCCAAUGAAAUAGAAGAAUGGUUGCCGAUACGCCUUCUAUAUGGAGAAGGGGGCCUUGGACUACCACGACCUUUACACUUAUUUUUCCAAAUGGAAAGAACACUAGACGGGAAAGACUCUAUGAUAGACUUAUGUUGAGGUGGCGCAAAUGACAUGGGUGAAUGAUAGUGAUCGCGCUUUUCAGAUGGAGUACUAAUAGUCAACUCAUAAUCCCGAGCUAAAGAAUAAGCGUGAUCAACAGCAGUGACACCUCGAAGGAAAAGCUCACGCCUAAGAUCAUCUCUCAGACCUUGGCUAAACCUACUCAAAGUCAUGAUCUCAUCCUCAAUGACAUGACAUUUGGUUCGAAAUUCCUCAAAUUGUACAAUAUAUUCGGUCACUAACCGAUUCCCUUGUUUAAGAGCAGUCCAUUGAAUAAAUACUUCAAAAUCUAAGCAACCAUUAUAAGUAGGAGUAUCUAAUUCAAUGCCUCUAAAGGAACUCUCCUUACGACGAGGAAGAGAAUGAGUACCGUGAUGGUCAUAAACUUGUUCUUGCCCACGAACUUGAUCCCUAUCACUACGAUCAUAUUGAAAAUAUUUUCGAUCUCUUCCUCGAUGACGAUAAUGUCUAUUAUGGGGUACUUUCGAAUUAUCAAUGUCGAUCGAAUGAAGGAUUUGCUUAGAAUUGUUCAAAUUAGCAGAGAGAGCCUUCCUCUCUUCAAGAGUAGCAGUGAUCUGGGUUUGGAUAGCAGCUAUUUGACAGGUGAGUGCAUCAAAUUGUAAAGGGUCCAUAUUUAGGUACAGAAACUAAAAGUGACAAGACGACCAGUCGACCACUAAGCAUGCACUGUAUUAGCAGCUAAAUGACAUGCAACUGAGAGAUCAAUAAACAAUAAGUGCAAGCAAUGGAAAAUAACUUGUGCCCCUUUUCUUUGGGAUUAAAUAAAUCCAAAUACGGCAAGCUAAUACUGCUGAUAUAUGUAAAAUAGCAACGCAAGAACCAAAUACUAGUCAAACCUAAUCACAUAAAAUAAGUGAGGUAAAAGUGGAAUUUAACGAAGGUAAUGGGUCCAAUUACGUGAGUUUAGGUAAAAACUGGAAUAAUAGCAGCACACAAAAAUAUUGAUGCAAUUUUAAAAUGAAACAGUAAUAAAACCAAAGAUAAAUAAAAACAAUAACCUUCCUUUCGUCUAUUGAAGUAGUUGUGUCAAAUCAACGGGAUUAAAAAGAAAUACCUAAAAGUAAUAGAAAAUAAAUUUUUUUUAACACUUUUUUUUUUUUAGCUUGCUUACAAAAAUCAACCUAAGUUACAUAAAAACAAUAGGGCAAUAAUUAAGCCCAAAUUAAAACAAAUUUCAAAUCACACAUGCCCAAGCCCAGAAUAUUAACUUUUAAAGUACAGCCCGAUUGAAAAUAUAUGCCCAAUUUCACGGCAAAUCUAGAAUGACUGUUGGCGGUGCUAUAGAGUUGGAAGCUGCUGGUGGAGGUGACUAACGCAGCUCGAGGGGAGUUAACUUUUGGGUCGUCGAUCAAGGAACAGUCGGUGUUUAGUGAAAUUUUUGGGUUACUGUAUUGCUAGUGUUUACUAUUAAUUGUAUGGAAUUGGGUGUCUCGCAGGUUGGGAUUAUAGUUGGUGGUUUACGUUGGUGGAGUUGUCGGAGAUGGACGGUAGUGGACUGUUGGAGAGUGGUGAGUCUUUUGGGUGGUGGCUGUGUGGACGGUUAUUAUGGGUUUAAUGAUUAUGGGCAGUUGCAAUUUUGAUGCAAUGAUUGCUAGCAGCGGCUGAGGUUAGGUUGGGGAUUGUGUAUGUAUGGGCUGUUGCUGUUGACAUGGUGAAGGGGAUUUGGGUUUGGGUAGUUGAUGUUAAUGGGUGGCGUUCGAGAAUUUGAGGGUCGCGAUUUGGGGAAGUUGUCGGCAGUUAUCGUUGCUUCUAUCAGUCAUGGGUUUAGUGUGGUCGGAAUAGUGGGCUGUGUGGUGGGAUUUAUUUUGGUAUAAUAGGUGAAGGUGCUGUAAGUUGCAGGGGUUGUGUGUAUGUGCGUGUACGGUUACUAGGUUUUGUAGCAAGGGAUGAAGUUUGAAGAUGGUGAUACUAGGAUAUGCAGGUUCUGGGAUGCAGAAAAAUGACCGAAUCCAGGUUGAGUUCUGAUACCACUUUGAUGUAAGAUAGAUUGAAGGAAUCCAGCAAGAAGAAGGGGAGAAACCAGGGGAGAAGAAGCAAGAAACGAGGAGGAGAAAAAGAGAGAGAGUUGGAGGAAGAAGGCCAGGGAAGAAGAGGAGAAAACUUAACCAAGCAUCAAACUUAACCAAGCAUCAUUUCAUUCAUCUCAUCAAUUCAUCGUCCGCAAAUUACACAACAAACCAAGUAUAAAUAGCAAAGCAAUAAACCUAAAGAAAAAGGGUUGGGCCAAGCCCAAUACAUAAAACAUAAAUAAAAGUCUACAACAUAACAUAUUUAGGUGAUAUCCUCAUCAAUAGUGUAUAUAUAUAUAUAUAUUCGAAUCAUAUACUGUUCCCUUAAGAACUUUACUGCUUCUUACGAUUUUGUUGCAAGUAACAUGUUGGAAGCUCUUACUCUUCGAAAUUAAAGAGUAGUCGUUUAUGAAGAAAUGUGAGCAUUAAAAAAGAAUUAUAAAUGGGGAAUUGCUGAUCUCGCCGGAGAAGAAAUUGAUAUGAUUAGUGAAACGGAAGGUAUAUGGUUGGGGAGAGUUCAAAUAUAUAAGGGAAGACUUGCGGAAAGGGGUUUAAGCAAAUUUAUGGAGUAAAUUUUAUUUAUUUUUUUGCGUGUGUAGCCAACAUAACUUAAUUCUAGUCCUAUUAUCUUUUGUAGCAAAUAUAAACUAAAUAUAUGUGUAACUAGACGUAAAGAAUGUGUUCGUACAUGGCGAUUUAGAGGAAGUAAAGGUCGGAAAAAAAUAAAAUUAAAUUAAACGGUGAAUGAGAAUUGUAACAACAAACUUUUGGUUUUAAUUUUCUACUUAAUUUGUAUUGAAUUGGUGGUUACAAAGCCUUAAUGCCUAUUGUAACAUACUUUGUGCUAAAUACAAAAUUAACUAAAAAAAUUGAACCCCCACUCCAUUUUUCUUUUUUCGAAUCUGCAGCUGGUAUUCUACGGGUGUACACUGGGUAAACCCUCGGAAUAACGCAAUAGCCUACAAACCACGUCAACCAGGUAAAUUGUACUAGGCAAGCCCGAUGCGACAUGCUCCACCAAAUAAGUGUUGGUAGGGAGAAUCGAACUCGUGACCAAAGGCUUCCACGCUCAUCUACUCCACUAACUCGGCCACCCCAUAAGGGGCAACUCCCCCUUCAUUGCUAUAUAAGGAGAUGUUUUCCUCCUUAUUCCGCACACCAAAAAUUGAGAUUUCUCUACUUUCUCUAAAUUUCUCUAGUCUCUCUUUGUUUCAAGAGUUUUAUUCUUAGUAGCUUAGAUAGUUUUUUUAUUUUAGAACUCCCCCUCCAUUGCUAUAUAAGGAGGUGUUUUCCUCCUUAUUCCGCACACCAAAAAUUGAGAUUUCUGUACUUUCUCUAAAUUUCUCUCGUCUCUCUUUGUUUCAAGAGUUUUAUUCUUAGUAGCUUAGAUAGUUUUUUAUUUUAGCUCGAUGAUAGAAGUGUGAACAUUCUCGUUCGCCUAAAGUGCUAACGAGGUGCUAGUCAACUGCUUUCAACCAUUGUAUCUUAAGAAAUAGUCGCCAUUUGUCAUCUUACACCAUUUACAAAGAGCAGUUGAAACAGUAGCAAGAUCAGGCGUCGAGUUGAGAUCUUGAAGGGCAUAGAGGAAGAUGAAUCAGACUCACGAUGAUGACGAAUUUCAUACACAAGACCAGGUUUAAACCUUUCUACAACUGUCGGGGAUCCAGAAAAGCUAGGCUAAAGGUAAGAUGUAGGUGAUAGUUCAACGUGAGAUGGAAAAAAUAAUGUUGUUCAAAGAAAACCACUCUCCUAGAAAAUAUGGAUACGUUGAGCAUUUGGGUCAUAGCAAACAUAAUCCUUUUGAGAGGUAGCAUGACCAAAAAAAGUACAUUUAACAGAUUGAACAGUAAAUUUAUGUUGCUUAUGCCCAGGAAGAUGGAUAAAACGAAUACAUCCAAAUGUAUGAAAAUCAGAAUAAGAAGGCAAAUGAUAAAACUUAAAGUAAGGGGAAACCUGAUUCAAAGUAGGGAAGGUAAACGAUUUAUAAAUAAACUGCAGUUGAAAGUGCUUCAGACCAAAAUCAAGGAGAGACAAACGAUUCUAGUGAGAGAUUUCUUACCACACCCAGAAGACAAUGGCUUUUUCUCUCAACAACACAAUUGUGUUAUGGCGUCGAAGGACGAGCGAUGAGAGAUGAUGCCUUUGCUUUGAAGAAAGUCUUGAAAUUCAUUGGACAUAUAUUCCCCUCAAGAAUCAUAUCGCACGAUCUUGAUGCUGGCAGAGAAUUAAAUUUCAAGAAGGGCAAGAAAGUGCCUAAAGACUAAAAAUACUCCUGCCUUUGCCAAUAAAAAAUAAAACCUAGUAAAGCGACUAAAAUCGUCAAUGAACGUAACAAAGUACUUAUAACGAGCUUGAGAAAUAAUAGGUGAAAUCUCCCAUACAUUACUAUGAAUAAUAUCAAAAUAUUGUGUGGCAUGAAAUCCAUGAGAAGGAAAUGGUAAAACCUUUGUUUUUCCAAUUUUGCAAGCGGUACAAUCAAAAGAGAGAUCAAGAGAAAAACAAGUUUUACUUUCCAAUAAACCAAAAUUAAAUAAAGUACGAAGUACAUAUGAAUUUGGAUGACCUAGACGUCUAUGCCACAGCUCAUUGCCAAGGCUAAUAGCAUUACAUGCAAAGGAACGUGAAAUAGAACUAGGAAAAACCGGGAAAGGAGAAAUGUGUAAAGGAAAGAGUUGUCCUACUUUAGGCACCUUUGUAAGCAUCUUCCUGGACACUGGAUCCUGCACAACACAACUAGAACGAGAAAAAUGGACAUCACAAUUAUUAUCAGCCAAUUGACCAACAGAGAUUAAAUUCAUAAGAGACUAGAAGAUAUAAAAACAUUAGUUAAGGAAGAAGAAAAAUCGCCAAUAGCACUAAUAGGUAGAGAAUUAUCGUUAGCAGUGUGAAUUCAAAGAUCACCAUCAUACUCUCUAAUGUUGGAAAGAGGAUCAUAUGAUUAGAGGCUCCGAAGUUUUAAAAAAAAAAAAAAAAGCUUAGAAGAAACGGUAUGAAUACUCGAGAGACCAUAUGCAGAAAAAGCGGAAUAGAUUAUCUGUUGUACCAUUUUAGGAGUGACACUGGUUGGGUUUGCUAGGGCAAUCAUAACACUGAUAGGAACAAUUGGCGAGGCAGUGGGCAACGCAGCGGAGCUAUUGGCACCAACGGAGGCAUAAUAUGUAGUGCUAUGCUUCCUUUCAAGUCAAAUGGGACAAAAGGAGAUGUGAUGACCCUGUUUAUUGCAAUAGUUACAAUGUUUCUUGGGACAAUCCAGAGCAAUGUGACCAAAGGCUUUACUGUUAUAACAUUGGAUAGCACGUAUGUCUCGAAACUUAUUCCUUCCUUGUGUUGCAUAAGCGACAGUAAUAGGAGAAUUAACGGUGGCCCCAUAUUCUAUAGUAGCUUGAUUGACGAUACGUUGCUCCUCGCAAAGAAGUUCACUCAAGCAAGCAUCUAAAAAUGGUACCGGAUGACUAUUCAUUAGAUUAGAGCAUGCAACCUCAAAGUCAAGACGUAGCUUCAUCAAGAAUUGGUCUCUCUUGCUUGUUUCAUGCACUAUUUGAACAGCAAAUAAGGCAAUAGCAGGAACAUUAGCAUAAAUAAUGUCUAAAUACUCAACCCAAAGAUUUUGAAAAAUAGAAGAAUAAUCCUCAGAUCGAGAGGCUUCCCUAUGUAAAAUUAGCCAACUUGUAUUUCAAUCCAAGUCAGAUUGUCUUGUUUGUAAACCUUACUAAAGUAAUCUCACAUAUCAGUAGUCAUUUUAUAAGGUCUCAAAUUAAAAACAAGGUGAUGUUCAACUGAACCAAUGAUCCAAGUCAUAACUCAGACAUCCUUGAUUUCCCAUUUGGAUAAAUGCUCCACAUCUUUAGGGGCAAGAUUGCUUCCAUCAAGAUGACCCGGCAACUCUUUUCUUUUAAUAAAUAAUUGAAAUUGAAAUUUCCAAGCUGAAUUAUUUUUGCUAUUAAAACAAGUAGGAAAAAAUUCAAUUUAUUGGAUGACAUGAUUAAUAAUGCAGCUCUCUAAGAGUAAAACAAAGAACCCAGACAAAAUAAAUGCAGCUCUCUAAGAGUAAAACAAAGAACCCAGACAAAAUAAAUAUAAAACCGGCCUAGACUAAAAGAACAUAUUGACCAACAUGCAACCAAGAGAAAGCGUCGACCAAAUUCACAAAAAAUUCAAGAAACUUGAACCAAACUAGCAAAAUAUUGACCAAAGGCAAAAUCGUGCACACCAAAUGGGUGAAUGAUAAAUACCCAACCAAAAUCGCAAAAGGAGUUAAAAACCAAAGUCACCGGAGGCUGGAAUACGCAAAUAUGAGAGGCCGAAUAACAAGAGGAGUUACCGACUAGAGACACCAGAGGAUGGAAUACCUAGAUGAAAAGCCAAAUUCCACUUUUCAAAUUUUUGACGCCCACAAAGCACGAGGAGCGAGCAACAGCCAAUCUGAAAUUACAGUCUGAAGCCUUCAACAACCGAAAAGGAGGAAACUAGGUGAACAAAAACUAAUCAAGUUAGGCGCCAAAGCUCUGAUACGAUGUUAAGAGCCGAAAUCUGCGAGAGAAAAUAGUUUAAUUUUCUGAAAACUCGUUUAUUCUUUUUGCCUCUUUUGUCCAAUAUGUGUGCGUGUGUGUAUACACAGAUUACAAUGAAACUAUAUAUUUUGCAAUUUCUAAGAAUCGGCUAUCAUUAACCGAAAGAUAAAUUCCAUAAUUAUCUAUAGUAACAGAUAUACGGAGGAUUGCAUUAGUGACAUAUAGGUGAGCCCAAUAGAAUGCAACGAAUAAAGAACCAAAUUGAGAAAGAAAGAGAAAGGGAAGGAAAGAGAGGAAGAGAGAGAAGAAAUAAGAGAAUAUAGUAUGAAAUUGGGGAGAGAGUAUAAUUUAUAUAUAAACAAAGUUUGAGUAUUACAAUGAAUAGAUUCUUUAUAUAGAGUCUAAUCAAACUUAAUUUGAGAAGGACAAUAAUCUUAUUCUAGUCAAAUUAGAAAAUUAAAAUAAACUAAUCUAAUCAUAACAAACAUAACUUAUGUCAAAUUCUAUUUUAAAAUUCUAUUUAAAUCUUAUAUUUAUUCUUUUCAUUUUCCAUCACUUCUUUCCAAAUGAGAAAACUCGACUCCUACGAAAUAUACUGCAAGACGAACUUUCUUAUUGAUCAAAUGAUCUAACCAAAGAACUUUUAAUGAAGUAACAAUAGGGAACUCCAAAAAAAUAACAACCCAUGCAACUCAUCCACAAAAAUUAUAAGAAAUCCAAAUGGUGUUUUCCAUACCUUUUUCAUCCCUCUGGGUUAGAGGGAAGUUCAAAACUUAGCUAUGCCCUUCUUAAUUCUAGAAACCCAAAAGCUUGUGAACACAUUCAACCAACCAGAAAGCAUGAGUAACUUGAUGCUAGUGCAUUGAUAGAUUGAUUCACAGAAACAGAUGAGUGCAAUCCUUAUAGCUCGAAUGUAGGAAAAAUUUUGCUGCACCGAAAACAAAAUAUUCAUUUAAAUAUGAUGGUCAAAUAGAUUAUUUUCAUCUAAGCUAUCUAAACAUUUUUUUUCCUUUCAAAAGCUGUGCAAAAGAAACACGUAAUAACGAGGCUUAAAAAUUAUUCAUCAAAAACAAGCAUUAUUUUCAUUAUUUAAAUAAAUUUUUCUUUUUAUCUUAACUUGAAAAAUCAGGAAAAGGUGCAAUAGAGAUCGGAGCUAAAAUAACAUGAUGGUAACUAGUAGGCAACAAUCAAAUGUCAAUAGGAAAAUUAUAUGAUCGAAUAGUGGCCUUGAGAUAAAAUGGCAAUCCGAAGAAUAUCGCGUAGCUGAGGUAACAUUAGAACAAAGUCGGUUGUAAAUUGGCACAUAGGAGUAGGCGAUAACAAUUCGGCACGAAGGUGAGGAUGUGUAGAAUGUCUGGUUUAGGUGGCAACGCUUAAGGCAAUUCCUCAAUGGUAUCAAAUUUAACUAUGUCAAAAACAUGUACGAGGGGAUACAAGACAAUUCUCAAAAACUUCAUUCUUACCAUUAGAAUAUUCAAUAGGCUCAUAAAUAAAAUCCUCAUUUUCUUGAUCAUGAUAAAGACUAACAUAAUCGGACAUUGGAAGUGAUCAGGACUGCAAUGGUAAGCCUAGUGUGCUUGGCAAAGAUGGAAGGAUAUAUCCCAUAGGUUGGCUUUCAGGUAAGCUUCAUCAAGGAUUGGGAUUCGAGAAUGUCGUCAUGCUUUUUUCAGAAUUUAAAUCGUUGAGAAACCCAAACUCUAGGACAUGGAUAUCUUUAUAAAUAUCACACCUAUGUAAUAGUUAUAAGAAUUAAACCAUUAAGAAACUUGAACUCUGAGACGUGGAGAUCUUUAUAAUUAUCAUAACUGUGUAAUAGUUAUUCAAAGUGGGCUAGAUACUAGCUAAUAAUAGAUGUACUUUGCCAAAGUGCAAAAAGAAUAGAACUAGGGGCUUGGAGUUGUUAUAUGAAUCGUAUGUGGUGUUGAUUAUUUGAAAUAGCUAUAAAUUAUCAUGUAGCACACUUAACAAAACUCUAAAACCGAAUCAAAUAAUUUUUGUUUUUAAUUAAACCGAACAAAAGAAAAUGAAAAAUUUGACCAAUUAACAACUAAAAGUAAAUUUUAUUUAUUUAAUUAAUUUUUAAAAAAAAAAAUCGAAAUUGCGAAACACUUGAAAAAAGUAAAGGUAUUAAGAUAGUAAAAAGUCUACAAGAGCAAUUGAUAUGGAGCCAACUGUAGGCAUAAUAAUUAUUCAAGCAUUCAAGAUUCCAUGCGAGAAUCGGAUUACAUCAGUGUGGCUCCUUGAUCGGAAUUAACAACAAAGUACCUAUCAAUAGUUUUUUUUCUUUUUGGAUUUUUUUUUUCUUGUAACUAACAAGAACAAACGUAAAUAACUAAGGAAUGAACAAUUCGGCCUUUUAUUUUUAUAUUUUUAAAAAAAUAAUAAUAAGACGUAACCAACUAUAGCUUUGUUGGGGAACAACUCCGACUUACGUGAUAAAUGAAAAAAAAAAUGUUUUUGUAACAAUAAGUCGCUGUUUGGGCUGCAUUCUGAAAAAAAUGCAUUUUUCUCUCAUCUUUUCAACCAUACAUUCCCAUAAAAUAAUAUUACACGUAAAUUCAAAACUUUUUCUUAUUUUUUAAUCACACAAUUUUUUUAAAAAAUUACUAUUCAAAAAUAAAUUUUUCUCCAAAAUGCAUUUUAGUUGGAGCCCAAACAUGGGCUAAGUAAAAGCUAAAACAAAGUGAGAAACAUCUUUUGUCAACUAAGUUGUUUUUUAUUUUUUAUUUUUUUUUCAAUUGCUGAUUUGGGGGAAUUUUUUAUGGUUUAAGGUGGCUAUGAUUGUAAGUGUAUAAGUUUUAAUUUUGAAAAAGAAAUUUUAGUCAAAGAAAAAUGAGUUGCUCUAAUAACAAAUUGAUGUAGAACAUAAUGAACAAAGAACAAGUUUAGAUAAAAAGAGAAGGAGAAGAGAAGAGAGAUGAAAGAGAAGAGAAUAUAGAAAAAAUUGGGGAAGAAAAGUAUUAAUUUAUUUAAUAAUUAAACUUGAAGUAUGAAAAUGAAUAGACAAGCUUUAUAUAAAGUCUAAGCAAACCUAAUUUGAGAAGGAAAUAACAAUCCAAUUAUAGUUAGACCAGAAAACUAUAAUAAAUUAAUCCGAUCAAAACAAACAUGAUUUGAAAUUAAAUUCUUCAUUAAAAUCCGAUAUUUAUUCUUAUCACCAUUGUCCCUCAGUAGGCAUAAGGCGGAUUCCCAAGCUUGGGUUCUAGUUGAUAUAGGGCUGAUUGUAUUAGUUCCAUGGCAUAGUAGAGAUAUGGUUGCUUAGGUCAAGAAUGUUCCAAUAGGACUUAACUUAUUUUUAUCCAUUUUUCUUUUCUUUUCUCUUAUUUUCUAGUUCAGAGAUAUGGGGAGAGAUUGGGAUAUUUACCACAAAGAAUUGAUGAAGUAUUGGAAAAUGUACUGUCAUUAUUGUAUGUUAGUACUUUCACUAUAAUUUGGAUUAGUUCGUUAUAUGCAACAGUUGUAUACAUACUGCAUUUGUCACUCCAACGGCAAAUUUUUUUAUUUGUGGAUGGAACUUUCAUGUUAAACUUUUGACCUUAGGAUAUAGCCUUCAGUGUACAUUAACAUUGCUAACUAUGAUUUAUAAAAUCAAUGGUUCACUGUCGCUGUUUUACUUGCACUUUUUAAAUUGGUGGUGAAGUGAAUAGUAAUAUUCCCGUGUUUGUGUUUUAGGUAGUUUUUGAAUUCUACGUAAUGAUUGCACUUUUUUAUAGUGUGAGGAAUUAUGGCUUGGGAAAGUACACAUACCUCGGAUAUCAAAAGUUCCAGGAAUAUCAAAAUUGGCUUCUUACUCUCUGUCCAUUAUGGAUGGCAAACGAGUGAGUAACUAGUAAUCUUCUCUCGCUUACAAACUACAUACUCAGGGUAUGUUGGUAUGCAGUAGUGGAUAGUACAAUGAACAAUAUUUUCCCUCUGUCUUUUUUAUUUAACACUGUCGGAUUACUAUCCAACAUGCUAUCAAAAUUAUGAAAGUGUACACCAUGUUUCAGUGACUUUGAUUGAUGAUCUUCAGAUCUCUGCCUAAUGCACCUCAAACUCCCAAUCUUUCUGAUUUCAGGCAAGAAUAACGUGCAAUGAUCUCUGUGAUCAUGUGUGGGAAUUUCAUUUCACUGAGGUAUAUACUUCAUUCUUAUUGGUGUAGCCAAUCCUUGCAUGUUUCUGAUGAAGCUCUAGAAAAUUUACUUUGAAAUUUUUAGGUUCAGCUAAACAUGCUCAUAGUCAUGUACGGUUGCUCUAAAAGAUGUGUUAGGUGCAGGCACUUUCCUCAGUUGCCAUCUCUAGAAAACCAUCAAGUCCCCUAAUUUUUGUUUCUCAUUUACCUUCGUUUAGCCGCUUUAGUUCUUUCCUAUUUUAUGUUCUAUUUCAAUUUUGCUUCCGCAAUUUGUUUUCAUGUUUCAACCUACACAAACUGUUAAAUUUUCUCAAAUGUCAGAAGUGUUGAAGACUGAAUCUCAUAUGCGUGACAACUCUUUCAUUAACCCAGUCUUUCGUUUCUGCAUUCCCAACUUCUUUGUUUGCUGCAAAUGCAGCCCAAGUUCAUAUUGUCUCUUAGAUUAGGCAACCAAGAUUAUUUGGAUAAUUAAAUUCGAACUAUCUCAAGAAACACUUAAAUUAGUGUUCCAUUUUUAAUUACCUUUACGGGAAACUCCCCUAAGAAAGUAUUUACUUGAUGUUCAUUCUUUUAUGCAGCUCCGAGCUGCCAUAGUUCUUCUAUAUUUAUAUUUCAGCUGAUUCUAUAGAAAUAUGGCUUUGCUAUUUGUUUUCAUAAAAUGUAAAGAUCCCAAGUUGUUUGAUUAGCUGUCAUAUACUUCCACAGUCCUUGAAAGUAAAACUCCCAACUCGAGCCAGAGCUUACAAAUUUAUCAUGUGCCAUGUCUUUUUAGUUUUUAUUUUUCUUCUCUUUGGGUACAUAUCUUUUAGGUUCUCCCUUACCCCGUCUUCGCAGGUAGUAGAUACAGCAGCUAAAACUUUACUGUUCCAGUUUCUACCAAAUUAUUCAUACAAUUCCAAAUUAUGAAGAAAAAGUUCCAUUAGUAUUUUCAUUUAUUAUUUACCUUUCUUUUGACAUUUAAUCCUUUUCUGAUGGGCUAUGUAGUUAGUUGCUCAAGAAGCUAUUACUUCAUGGACUAAUUAAUGCUGCUGUAUAAACUUUUUUCGAACCUAGAUUAUAUUUCAAUUUGUCAGGAUGAAUGACCACAAAUUUAUUAAGGAUAAGACUUUAGUUAUCGUUCUAUAUUAUGCUCAUUGUCCUCAAGACAAUGUAGACAAAAUCAAAGCAUGGGCCCCAAAAAAUGAUUAAUUUGAUGAUCUUACCCGGAUAUUCUGAUGAUCUCCUCUUUCUGUAGGAUGCUCCUGAAUAUUGGCGAAAUCUUGAUCCUUACUGGACAGGCACAGGAAGUACAUUGCGCCGGUAUUUCCAUCCAGAUGGAAGCAUAUCUGCAGAUCCUGGUGAUCUGGUAUGGGGCGGCCACGAGUCAUGCUACACUACAGUUACCGGAUUGCUGGAAGAUGGAGAAAUACGAGAACAUUAUGUGAGAAUCAAUCGUUGGCCUCAAUUACAUGUUUUGAGGAAGCCCGAUUGGGGUUGGGAAUUAUCAAACCAUCUCUACUGCUACACUAGUGUCCCUGAUGCCGAAAAGGAAGAUGGAACGGGUCCUCUGUUUCCAGUUUUUUAGUCUAGUUUUGAGGGUGUUUUAUGUUUGAUUAAUGUUAUAGACUCUGUUCUGGCAAGGAGAUUUUGUUUUAUGUAUGUAUGCAUGUAUAUAUUGGUAAACAUGUCGUGUUUAUUUCAAUGAAAAAAUUUCAUAUGAAUCUAAAUGGGCAUGGCUGUCUUGGGAAAAAAACACGGGGGAUUUGUGUAUCUAUAUUGGAUUAAACUACUUGUACAUGACACCCCCUAUGUGUAAAAAAUUUGGCAGUUGAUUGGAAAAAGUGUCGUGAAGAUAAACGUACUCACAUGGAUGUAAAUCACCGUGUCAAUCUUUAUGUACUUAUAGCAUUGUCCAUUUAUAUUUUCUAUUAACAUUACAACUUUAAAAAACAAAUAUGCUAUAGUGCUAGGAAGGUUGACACAAUGUCACGUGAUAUAUUAUAUUAUUGAACAUUUUAUAAUAAAAUCAACUUUUCCAUCCAAUCAUCUACCAUCAUUUAUCUUUGCAUUUGUCAAUAUCUUUCAAACAAAGUGGCAUGAUCUUUUUAAAAACAUUUAAAUAUAAGAAGAUAGAAAGACUUGGCCUAUGAGAGUAACAAAAAAAAUUAUUGUGGUCUUUCCUCUUUGAAAUGAAGAAAGAGUAAUUCUAUUUCACUUCCCUGAAAUUACAACGUCAAGUUUUAAUUUGAUAUUAAUUGAUUGAUAGAAUUAAAAAACUCGUUUAAUUUCAAAUUUCAUUUGACAUAUUAUGAGAGUGUUUGAUGGGUAUUUUUAUGAAAAAAUGCAUUUUAAAAUAAUAAAUUGAUAUGAAAUGUGUAGUUGAGAAAUGAGGAAAUUUUUUUUUUAUAUGUAAUAUUAUUUUAAUAAAGAAUGUGUAAUUAAAAAAAAGUGAAAAAAAUACAUUUUAAAAAAAAUAGCUACCAAAGGGCACCUAUAUAGUGCCAUUUAGACUAGGAUGCAAUCCCUAGGGAACACUUUACCUUCUUCCGGACUCCCAACGCCCCACCCUAACCCAACAAAACACACCCACCACUGAAAAUCGCCGCCCCUAUUCACCCACCUGCCAUCCGGAAAUGGCUCGUUAUCACUGUACACGAAUCCACCUACUCCCCCAUCCUCCUUUCUCUCCCUCAAUCACUCAGCCCUCAGGCAGUUUAUCUAUAAAACUCACCGGGUCACCUCCGAGUUUUCUUGAAUAUUUGACUCAGCUCUUCCAAUGGAGGUCGAAACUCGCGCUCCUGCAGCCUUUGAUACUUCUCAUUUUUCUUCUACUCCCAUAAACCACUCGGAGAUUUGCGACGUUGAGCUUCAAUGCCGUAGAUGCCCGGCUACUCGAAUGAAGCUCUGGAACAGCACGAAGUUGAAUCACCAGCCUCCAAUCUUAAUAAUUAUUGGAAUGAAUACGCAAAAUUGAAAGUCAAUAAUUAUUGGAAUAAAUAAGUUUUCAUAUAAUAUUAAGGAGAAACAGAUUGAAUGAUUGGUCGAAAAUGAAAAGAACUCUUUCUUUUAUCAGGCCCAUUGUGAUGCUAGAAAGAGGGUUUGAAUUUUGGUAUUUUUCUUACAUUUCAAAUUGU